GGUAGUCCACGCCGUAAACGAUGUCAACUAGCUGUUGGGGCCUUCGGGCCUUAGUAGCGCAGCUAACGCGUGAAGUUGACCGCCUGGGGAGUACGGUCGCAAGAUUAAAACUCAAAGGAAUUGACGGGGACCCGCACAAGCGGUGGAUGAUGUGGAUUAAUUCGAUGCAACGCGAAAAACCUUACCUACCCUUGACAUGUCUGGAAUCCUGAAGAGAUUUAGGAGUGCUCGCAAGAGAACCGGAACACAGGUGCUGCAUGGCUGUCGUCAGCUCGUGUCGUGAGAUGUUGGGUUAAGUCCCGCAACGAGCGCAACCCUUGUCAUUAGUUGCUACGAAAGGGCACUCUAAUGAGACUGCCGGUGACAAACCGGAGGAAGGUGGGGAUGACGUCAAGUCCUCAUGGCCCUUAUGGGUAGGGCUUCACACGUCAUACAAUGGUCGGGACAGAGGGUCGCCAACCCGCGAGGGGGAGCCAAUCCCAGAAACCCGAUCGUAGUCCGGAUUGUAGUCUGCAACUCGACUGCAUGAAGUCGGAGUCGCUAGUAAUCGCGGAUCAGCAUGUCGCGGUGAAUACGUUCCCGGGUCUUGUACACACCGCCCGUCACACCAUGGGAGUGGGUUCUACCAGAAGUAGUUAGCCUAACCGUAAGGGGGGCGAUUACCACGGUAGGGUUCAUGACUGGGGUGAAGUCGUAACAAGGUAACC
rnacentral:rRNA from 1 species